rnacentral:rRNA from 1 species
CAGCCGCCGCGGGAAUACGUAGGGUGCAAGCGUUAAUCGGAAUUACUGGGCGUAAAGCGUGCGCAGGCGGUUCGCUAAGACAGAUGUGAAAUCCCCGGGCCUAACCUGGGAACUGCAUUUGUGACUGGCGGGCUAGAGUAUGGCAGAGGGGGGUAGAAUUCCACGUGUAGCAGUGAAAUGCGUAGAGAUGUGGAGGAAUACCGAUGGCGAAGGCAGCCCCCUGGGCCAAUACUGACGCUCAUGCACGAAAGCGUGGGGAGCAAACAGGAUUAGAUACCCCUGUAGUCCCUGUCUCUUAUAC